UAGGGAAUCUUCGGCAAUGGACGAAAGUCUGACCGAGCAACGCCGCGGGAGUGAAGAAGGUUUUCGGAUCGUAAAACUCUGUUGUUAGAGAAGAACAAGGACGUUAGUAACUGAACGUCCCCUGACGGUAUCUAACCAGAAAGCCACGGCUAACUACGUGCCAGCAGCCGCGGUAAUACGUAGGUGGCAAGCGUUGUCCGGAUUUAUUGGGCGUAAAGCGAGCGCAGGCGGUUUCUUAAGUCUGAUGUGAAAGCCCCCGGCUCAACCGGGGAGGGUCAUUGGAAACUGGGAGACUUGAGUGCAGAAGAGGAGAGUGGAAUUCCAUGUGUAGCGGUGAAAUGCAUAGAUAUAUGGAGGAACACCAGUGGCGAAGGCGGCUCUCUGGUCUGUAACUGACGCUGAGGCUCGAAAGCGUGGGGAGCAAACAGG
rnacentral:rRNA from 1 species